GCCCCGUUGGCUCAGUGGUAAAGCGUGUCACUAGUAAAUAGGCACGACGUGAUAAGAUCACUGGUUUGACUUCAGUGCGGAGCA